AUUGAACGCUGGCGGCAGGCCUAACACAUGCAAGUCGAACGAGUGGCGGACGGGUGAGUAAUGUCUGGGAAACUGCCUGAUGGAGGGGGAUAACUACUGGAAACGGUAGCUAAUACCGCAUACCAUCGGAUGUGCCCAGCUGGGAUAAGCUUGUGGGUGGGGUAACGGCUCACCAAGGCGACGAUCCCUAGCUGGUCUGAGAGGUUGACCAGCCACACUGGACCUGAGCCACGGUCAAUACUCCUACGGGAGGCAGCAGUGGGGAAUAUUGCACAAUGGGCGCAAGUCUGAUGAGGCCAUGCCGCGUGUAUGAAGAAGGCCUUCGGGUUAUAAAGUACUUUCAGCGGGGAGGCGUUACCCGCAGAAGAAGCACCGGCUAACUCCGUGCCAGCAGCCGCGGUAAUUC
rnacentral:rRNA from 1 species